rnacentral:rRNA from 1 species
ACGUCCAUACCACGCUGAAUACACAGGUUCUCGUCCGAACACCGAAGUUAAGCAGCGUCGGGCGCGGUCAGUACUUGGAUGGGUGACCGCUGGGAACUACGCGUGAUGUU